rnacentral:lncRNA from 1 species
GUCAACCAAAUCCACCCUCUCACCUCCCACUCCAUCGUUUGCCCAAUCGCGCCACUUCCAAACCUCCACAACACACUUUCUCCAUACUCAUCACCCGCGAAAAUAACACCUCCUUGCCUCGUAAAUGGGCGAUAAGCGCUCGAAUAUCGGUUCCUAAACCACGCCUUUGGCUGAAGCAAUGAGAACUUCGAAGGCUUUGUUGAAAACACCUCUCGGCCGUUGACACUGUCAUGAAGGAACCAAUUGAACGUACCGCUAUUGCCGUAGACUGAUUGCUCGAACUUCCAUGGCUUGAGAUUGGUGGUAAUUGUUUCACCUGCGGAAACGGAUAUUCCAAUGUGAGGAUUUGGUGGUUCGAAUGAGGCUUCGAUGGAUCGUUCGACCCCGAUUUCUAGAGUUGGGUUUUCAGAUGAUCUGCUAACGGAAACGCUUAAGAUGUUGGUUUGGAUUGUGGGGGUGAGCUGUAAGGAAAUGCGGGAGGGGAAGUGUUUUUCAUCGAUUCCUGCUCCACGUUCUUUCAUUAGAGUUUCGUUCACGAGUCGUAUAAUGUUACACCUGUUUAAUACAAAAUAUAUUUAAUAUAUUAAAUCUAAGUUUUACAAAAAAAUAGGUUUAUUUACACUCUGAAAUUCAAGGUUGAUAAGUGAAACUUGGGCUCAUUUAUUAAACGAGUUUAUUUUUAAGCUUUAAGCUUGUCUAGAUUCGUAUUUUUAACAAAUUGAUAUCAGUUAACUCAUUCAUACACUAGUACACAAAGCUUUUGUUGGUGCGAUGCACUUUAUUUUGGUGAUGCGGUUCUCUAAAACACCGCACCUUUAUAUUUAUCGUUCACAAAUUCCCCCAACUUUAUAUCUUAUAUUUACAUUUUCCCUCCCUUAUGUUUCAUAUUCCCCUCAAAAUUUUCAUUUUCCCUCUAUUCCCGCUUGUUUAUUUCCCUCCCUCACGAAUUUCUCACCCUCACAAACCCUAAUCGAACCCCAAGUCUCUCUGUCGCAUCCAUCUCGUUCCUUUUGACACCACUCACUACCGAUACCUUCCAGUGAACCGACCCCAUCCCUGCCCUGCAUUGCACCGUCCCAUCCCUGCCCUACAUUGCACCGUCGUUGCGGUCUAGUGCACCGUGUCUCUCCUGUUCGUUACAGCCACUGUGUGCAAUUUUCCACUAAAUUCAUAUGAAUAUGUUGUGUCUAAAUCUCUGUUUUUAUUCGCUCGUUAUGAUGUUUAGAAUAUGUGCAUACCAAGUGUUUGAUGAAAUGUUUGUGUUAGUUUUCCCCUCUAAUUUUAUUCACAUUUGUCUAAGUGCCUUGGUUUCAAUUAUUCUUGGUUGUGUGUAGGUUGAGUUGGACAUGGUGAAGAUUCUUCCUACUUACAAAGGAUAAAAAAACAUGUUGGAACCGUUGAAUGCACUUCAGGUGCACUUGCCAGCACUAAUAAUCGAACUCAGUUUUUCAUGAGAAGCAUUUCAAAGGUACCAAACUUAAAACUUGGCCAAAGCACUUGAGAUCGCAAAGAAAGCCCCGCGAACGUUCUUCGAGCUCUUGCAUGAGGCGGUUUCUACGGAUCGGAAUGCUAGGAUUGAAGAAGUCGAUUCGGGUUGUAAGGCAUACGAAGUUGCCUGUAUGAUUUUUUAGGUUGCAAACUUUUUUGAGCUAUUUCACAAAGUGUAUACGUUUUGUGUUUCAUACGGGAACCAUGUAGUUUUUGGAAACGUGUUUAAUAUGUUAGAAAUUUUUGUUUGU